ACUUAAAUUGAAGAGUUUGAUCAUGGCUCAGAUUGAACGCUGGCGGCAGGCCUAACACAUGCAAGUCGAGCGGUAGCACAGAGAGCUUGCUCUCGGGUGACGAGCGGCGGACGGGUGAGUAAUNGUCUGGGAAACUGCCUGAUGGAGGGGGGUAACUACUGGAAACGGUAGCUAAUACCGCAUAACGUCGCAAGACCAAAGUGGGGGACCUUCGGGCCUCAUGCCAUCAGAUGUGCCCAGAUGGGAUUAGCUAGUAGGUGGGGUAACGGCUCACCUAGGCGACGAUCCCUAGCUGGUCUGAGAGGAUGACCAGCCACACUGGAACUGAGACACGGUCCAGACUCCUACGGGAGGCAGCAGUGGGGAAUAUU
rnacentral:rRNA from 1 species